UACGUAGGGGGCUAGCGUUGUCCGGAAUCAUUGGGCGUAAAGCGCGUGUAGGCGGUCCGGUAAGUCCGCUGUGAAAGUCGGGGGCUCAACCCUCGGAUGCCGGUGGAUACUGUCGGGCUUGAGUACGGAAGAGGCGAGUGGAAUUCCUGGUGUAGCGGUGAAAUGCGCAGAUAUCAGGAGGAACACCAAUAGCGAAGGCAGCUCGCUGGGACGGUAUUGACGCUGAGGCGCGAAAGCGUGGGGAGCAAACAGG
rnacentral:rRNA from 1 species